AGAACUCUGACAUACUCAGGCUAGCCUUUCCAUACUGCACUGGUUCAAUUCUUGGUUGCUAAGUCAAGGUGUAAGUAUUUCCCGGAGUCCUUGAGACCCUUAGGGAACUUUGAUGCACCUAGACUCUAAUUUGUCUAUGGAAUUGAGGCUUAUGAGACCAUUGGAGUCUUGGGAAACUUAGGCCUAAUUGAAGGCUCCCUAUAGAAUAGCUUCUUGAUUUUCCAUUUUACUCAUGUAAUUCAUCCACUUGGCUUGUAAUAAUUUGUAAAUAGAUAUUUGGGGUAUUUAGUAAAAUAGGGUGGGUAGAUGCACACUUUCUGGGGUAAUACAGGUAGAAAUCAUGCUCUUAGGACAUUAUUCUUAAUGUUCGAUUGCUUUACUUAAAUAGAAAACACGCUCAUAGGUUUACUAUUUAAUCUGUUUGCUCGGCCUAAUAGAAAACAUGUUCAUAGGCUUUACUUUUAAAAAAAUCCGAUUGCUUUACCUAAUAGAAAUCAUGCCAAUAGGACUUCAUUUUUUAAGUUGUUUGCAUCAAGUAGAAAUCAUGCUUAUAAGGUUCUGCAUGUUGUCAUAUUAGAAACCAAUCAUGUCUCAGAUCAGUU
rnacentral:lncRNA from 1 species